UACGUAGGUGGCAAGCGUUGUCCGGAUUUACUGGGCGUAAAGGGCGUGCAGGCGGUCUGUUAAGUGCAGGGUGAAAGCUCCCGGCUCAACUGGGAGAGUCCUUGCAUACUGGCGGACUUGAGGGGGGUAGAGGAAAGUGGAAUUCCCGGUGUAGUGGUGAUAUGCGUAGAUAUCGGGAGGAACACCUGUGGCGAAGGCGGCUUCUGGGUCCCUACC
rnacentral:rRNA from 1 species